AAAAAGGCAAAUCAUGGGUUUUCGUGUCCAACUUUGACUGUCCGUCUUAUAUGAAAUUUUUUUAUAAUUCGUAUUUUCAUUGUUGUUAGAUGAUAAAACAUGAUUAAUAUUUUAUGCAUGACUUGUCUUUUUAAUUUUUUCAAAUAAGACGGACGGUCAAAUAUUGGGCACGGAAACCAGGGUUUGUCUUUUU
rnacentral:pre_miRNA from 1 species